AUCGUUCGCAUCCUCACGGCUAAAAUCAAAGAGAGCGCAGAUGACAUCAUGCAUUUGGUGUAAAAGAACACAAUCAAUAUCGUUAACCUGAAGAAAUCGAUUGAUUUCAGUGCUGACGAAGUAAAAACUCGGAAGCAGCAGAACGCAACAUUGAACAUUCAGGUUGCAAAGCAGAAUAAUAAACUCACUGAAAUGGAGUCAAAGGUAAACGAGAAUGACCGGUAUAGUCGGAGAUGGAGUCUUCGAAUUUAUGGAAUAGCAGAAAAAUCUGACGAGAACAUCAAAGCAAGAGUGAAGGACAUUUGCAGGGCAAAGAGAUGGGGAAAACAACCAGCCACCACGACCAGUGAUCAUGAGGUUCAAGGAGGAUCUGACAGCAUUUGACAAAGAAGCUCUGAAUCGUCUGUGGCCGAUAAUUGAGAGAGCAAGGAAGGAAGGGAAAAGUGCAUACUUUGCGGUACCGAAGGCUUUUGUUUAAUGGAAGGGAAAUUCACGCUGACGCCUAGUUUGUUGACUGCUGGACUUGUCAAUUGAGUAGUGCAGGACUGAGUUUUAUUUGCUAAUUUGAUAAAACUAGAUAUUUCUUGAGGAAAGAGCAUUGUUUGUGUGAGCCAAACUUUUUUUAUAUAUAUAUUUUUUUUUAUGGCAGGGAAAUUCGCACUGACACUUAAUGUUAGCUUGAUGGCUAUUCGUUUUUACCAAUCUAUGGUACAAUGUUAUUUGCAAUUGUAUAAAUAUAUAUCAUUUAGAUCAACCACUUGCGUGGAGCAAAGGUAUGUUUUUAUUUGCAACUAGUAAGACCUUUUCUUUUUAUGAGAACCCGAUUCAUGUGAACGUAUACAAGUUUAAUAUUCUUCAUAUAGUCACUGUGAUAGUAAAUGUCCAUUUCUGUUUUUCCUAUUAAUGCCAGGGGAAUCUGUAUUUUUUUUAAAGGGAGAUCUUUAUUUUUGUAUUGUAAGGGUUUCAUUCAAGAAACUCAUGCCUGUUGCACAGAUACUGCGUUUUGGAAGUGUCAAUGGUGAUGAUAUGAAUGAUAUUUGGUUUUCGUUUGGUACUAAUCGGUCAGCAGGUGUCCCUAUUUUAAAAGGCAACUUUAAGGCUCAUAUAUUGAGUCAUGAAGCAGAUAAUACAGGGAGAUGGAUUAUACUAUUGGUAGAUGUCAACCAUGUUCWAUUCAUUGUUGUAAAUACUUAAGCUUCCAAUAACAAGUCAAGUAACUAUUUUAUUUAGAGACAUUGAGAGGAAAAUAAGUAAAAUUAUGUCUAAAUUUCAAUUGGCCAAAGUAAUAUGGGGUGGAGAUUUUAAUACACUAUUACAUGAUAAUCUAGAUAGAGGAUAGCAAUUCUGUUUGUGAGAUAAGGAAUAGAUGUCUAAGGUUAGGUGUUCUAGAUAUUUGGAGACAUAAGAACCCAGAUAAGAUUAUGUUUACAUGGAGUACCAAAGAUUUAUCGAUACAAUCCCAUAUUGAUUUCUGGCUGAUAUCUGCAGAUAUGGCUGACAAGGUUGAUAAAAUCAAUGGUUCAAUCGAGACUGUAACAGACCACAACAGGAUCUCAAUAAAGAUAAAUAUGCAUGGUUUGUCAACCAAAAAAAGUUAAAGGUUACUGGAAAAUGAACAAGACUUUACUA